CCAUGCUAGUCUUUGUAGUAAUACAAGGCAUACGGCUCAGUAACGCGUAGUCAACCUACCCUAUGGACGGGGAUAAUCUCGGGAAACUGAGCAUAAUACCCGGCAGACCACUUAUCCUGGAAUGGUUAGUGGUUAAAAUGAUUCGUCGCCAUAGGAUGGGACUGCGGCCUAUCAGCUUGUUGGUGAGGUAAUGGCCCACCAAGGCGAUUACAGGUACGGGCUCUGAGAGGAGAGGCCCGGAGAUGGGUACUGAGACAAGGACCCAGGCCCUAUGGGGCGCAGCAGGCGAGAAAACUUUGCAAUGUGCGAAAGCACGACAAGGUUAAUCCGAGUGAUUUCUGCUAAAGGAAUCUUUUGUUAGUUCUAAAAAUACUAGUGAAUAAGGGGUGGGCAAGUUCUGGCGUCAGCCGCCGCGGUAAAACCAGCACCUCAAGUGGUCAGGAGGAUUAUUGGGCCUAAAGCAUCCGUAGCCUGUUCUAUAAGUUUGCGGUUAAAUCUAUACGCUCAACGUAUAGGCUGCCGUAAAUACUGUAGAACUAGGGAGUGGGAGAGGUAGACGGUACUCGAUAGGAAGGGGUAAAAUCCUUUGAUCUAUUGAUGACCACCUGUGGCGAAGGCGGUCUACCAGAACACGUUCGACGGUGAGGGAUGAAAGCUGGGGGAGCAAACCGGAUUAGAUACCCGGGUAGUCCCAGCUGUAAACGAUGCAGACUCGAUGAUGCAAUGGCAUGGAGCUAUUGCAGUAUCGCAGGGAAGCCGUUAGGUUUGCCGCCUGGGAAGUACGUACGCAAGUAUGAAACUUAAAGGAAUUGGCGGGGGAGCACCACAAGGGGUGAAGCCUGC
rnacentral:rRNA from 1 species